rnacentral:rRNA from 1 species
GAAUUUGAUCUUGGUUCAGAUUGAACGCUGGCGGCGUGGAUGAGGCAUGCAAGUCGAACGGAAUAAUGACUUCGGUUGUUAUUUAGUGGCGGAAGGGUUAGUAAUACAUAGAUAAUCUGUCCUCAACUUGGGAAUAACGGUUGGAAACGACCGCUAAUACCGAAUGUGGUAUGUUUAGGCAUCUAAAACAUAUUAAAGAAGGGGAUCUUCGGACCUUUCGGUUGAGGGAGAGUCUAUGGGAUAUCAGCUUGUUGGUGGGGUAAUGGCCUACCAAGGCUUUGACGUCUAGGCGGAUUGAGAGAUUGACCGCCAACACUGGGACUGAGACACUGCCCAGACUUCUACGGAAGGCUGCAGUCGAGAAUCUUUCGCAAUGGACGAAAGUCUGACGAAGCGACGCCGCGUGUGUGAUGAAGGCUCUAGGGUUGUAAAGCACUUUCGCUUGGGAAUAAGAGAGAUUGGCUAAUAUCCAAUCGAUUUGAGCGUACCAGGUAAAGAAGCACCGGCUAACUCCGUGCCAGCAGCUGCGGUAAUACGGAGGGUGCUAGCGUUAAUCGGAUUUAUUGGGCGUAAAGGGCGUGUAGGCGGAAAGGAAAGUUAGAUGUUAAAUCUUGGGGCUCAACCCCAAGCCAGCAUCUAAUACUAUCUUUCUAGAGGGUAGAUGGAGAAAAGGGAAUUCCACGUGUAGCGGUGAAAUGCGUAGAUAUGUGGAAGAACACCAGUGGCGAAGGCGCUUUUCUAAUUUACACCUGACGCUAAGGCGCGAAAGCAAGGGGAGCAAACAGGAUUAGAUACCCUGGUAGUCCUUGCCGUAAACGAUGCAUACUUGAUGUGGAUAGUCUCAACCCUAUCCGUGUCGUAGCUAACGCGUUAAGUAUGCCGCCUGAGGAGUACACUCGCAAGGGUGAAACUCAAAAGAAUUGACGGGGGCCCGCACAAGCAGUGGAGCAUGUGGUUUAAUUCGAUGCAACGCGAAGAACCUUACCUGGGCUUGACAUGUAUUUGACCGCGGCAGAAAUGUCGUUUUCCGCAAGGACAGAUACACAGGUGCUGCAUGGCUGUCGUCAGCUCGUGCCGUGAGGUGUUGGGUUAAGUCCCGCAACGAGCGCAACCCUUAUCGUUAGUUGCCAACACUUA